GACGAACGCUGGCGGCGUGCUUAACACAUGCAAGUCGAGCGGAAAGGCCCUUCGUGGUACUCGAGCGGCGGACGGGUGAGUAACACGUGAGUAAUCUUCCCUUGGCUUUGGGUUAACUACCGGAAACGGUGGCUAAUACCGGAUACGACAACCGUCUGCAUGUGCUGGUUGUGGAAAGUUUUUUCUGCCAGGGAGGUGCUCGCGGCCUAUCAGCUUGGUUGUUGGGUAAUGGCGUACCAAGCCUUCGACGGGUAGCCGGGGUGAGAGGGUGACCGGCCACACUGGGACUGAGACACGGCACAGACGCCUACGGGAGGCAGCAGUGGGGAAUAUGGGAAAAUGGGCGGAAGCCUGAGCCAGCAAAGCCGCGUGAGGGACGACGGCGAUCGGGUUGUAAGGCUCUUUCAGUACCGACGAAGGGGCGAUGAUGGUGGUGACGGUAGGUACAGAAGAAGCACCGGCCAACUACGUG
rnacentral:rRNA from 1 species